AAUAGAUACCCGGGUAGUCCACGCCGUAAACGGUGGGCACUAGGUGUGGGCGACAUUCCACGUCGUCCGUGCCGCAGCUAACGCAUUAAGUGCCCCGCCUGGGGAGUACGGCCGCAAGGCUAAAACUCAAAGGAAUUGACGGGGGCCCGCGACAAGCGGCGGAGCAUGUGGCUUAAUUCGACGCAACGCGAAGAACCUUACCAAGGCUUGACAUACACCGGAAACGUCCAGAGAUGGGCGCCCCCUUGUGGUCGGUGUACAGGUGGUGCAUGGCUGUCGUCAGCUCGUGUCGUGAGAUGUUGGGUUAAGUCCCGCAACGAGCGCAACCCUUGUCCCGUGUUGCCAGCAGGCCCUUGUGGUGCUGGGGACUCACGGGAGACCGCCGGGGUCAACUCGGAGGAAGGUGGGGACGACGUCAAGGUCAUCAUGCCCCUUAUGUCUUGGGCUGCAAACAUGCUACAAUGGCCGGUACAGAGGGCUGCUAAACCGCGAGGUGGAGCGAAUCCCUAAAAGCCGGUCUCAGUUCGGAUUGGGGUCUGCAAUUCGACCCC
rnacentral:rRNA from 1 species